CGGACGGGUGAGUAAUGCGUAGGAAUUUACCUCAAAGCGGGGGAUAGCCCGGAGAAAUCCGGAUUAAUACCGCAUGUGCUCUACGGAGGAAAGCGGGCCUCUUCUUGAAAGCUCGCACAUUGAGAUAAGCCUACGUCGGAUUAGCUUGUUGGUAGGGUAAAAGCCUACCAAGGCGACGAUCCGUAGCUGGUUUGAGAGGAUGAUCAGCCACACUGGGACUGAGACACGGCCCAG
rnacentral:rRNA from 1 species